rnacentral:ncRNA from 1 species
CGGUGAGGUAGAGGUGCAGUGUAUAAGAGUAGUCUAUUGGAGGAUGAUAACAAUGAAGAUAGAUGAAAGGAUAUAUUGCCGAAGCAGUAUGUAAGGGUCGCACUUCGUAUUGCUGGUAUGCUUUUGAAUAAGAGGUAUACUGUCAUGCAGUAAGCAACAUGCAUGGAGAACUACUGAUCGA